rnacentral:rRNA from 1 species
UACGUAGGGGGCUAGCGUUGUCCGGAAUCAUUGGGCGUAAAGCGCGUGUAGGCGGUUUGGUAAGUCCGCUGUGAAAGUCGGGGGCUCAACCCUCGGAUGCCGGUGGAUACUGUCGGGCUUGAGUACGGAAGAGGCGAGUGGAAUUCCUGGUGUAGCGGUGAAAUUCGUAGAUAUUCGGAAGAACACCAGUGGCGAAGGCGGCCAACUGGUCCACUACUGACGCUGAGGUGCGAAAGCGUGGGGAGCAAACAGG